AGCGAACGCUGGCGGCAGGCCUAACACAUGCAAGUCGAACGAACUCUUCGGAGUUAGUGGCGGACGGGUGAGUAACACGUGGGAACGUGCCUUUAGGUUCGGAAUAACUCAGGGAAACUUGUGCUAAUACCGAAUGUGCCCUUCGGGGGGAAGAUUUAUCGCCUUUAGAGCGGCCCGCGUCUGAUUAGCUAGUUGGUGAGGUAAAGGCUCACCAAGGCGACGAUCAGUAGCUGGUCUGAGAGGAUGAUCAGCCACAUUGGGACUGAGACACGGCCCAAACUCCUACGGGAGGCAGCAGUGGGGAAUCUUGCGCAAUGGGCGAAAGCCUGACGCAGCCAUGCCGCGUGAAUGAUGAAGGUCUUAGGAUUGUAAAAUUCUUUCACCGGGGACGAUAAUGACGGUACCCGGAGAAGAAGCCCCGGCUAACUUCGUG
rnacentral:rRNA from 1 species